AGCCUGAUCUGAUACAGAAGGUUGGUUAAGAUAAAAAAGGAAAAAAGAAGGUCCCAAUGUGAAGUAUAGCGUCUAAGUGUAUUACUCAAGAAACAUGGCAGACUUGCUUACCAAGAGGGUUGGAGUAUUUUAAAGUUAACUCUAGCAAAACACUCAUUUUCUCUAUUAGUCUGAGUAAUUUAUCUAAGUUGCAAAAACAAAUUGACCUUUUUUGAUCUAAUUGCCUACCUGAGUCAAUGAAUUUUUUAUCAAGAGACACUGAAACCAAAGAGGUUUUCCUUAAUAUUCUAGGAAUGCAUGGAUCACCUUGAAAAUCUCUGAAAAACUAAUAACAAGAAGCAAAGGGCUGAGUUCAUAAUUGUUUCCCUUUCUCUAAGCCAAAAUUGAUGGCCAGUAGGAAGGCAUUGAAAUCCAGUGCACACUGACACUAUUUAUAAGGUCUUGAUAUUUUAGACUUGUAGUGCACCAUUCAUCCUAGGAUCAUAAAAGUGGUUGUUAAAAUUUAUACCAUAUUAGUCUGAUUAACACUCAGAUGGGUAAAAAUAAAGGAUUGAAGAGAAAUAUUUAUUUCACAAGGGUAGGGACUUUAAUAUACAGAAAGCUGCAUAAAUCUGCAGAUGUUCUAAUUAGAUUCAGCUGAACUACUUCAGAAUGCAGGAUAACAUGGAUUUACUCUGCCAACAACUAAGAAUAACUUUUCUGAUGCAAAAAAUGUUCAAGUUUCAAUAUUGAAACAUAAAAUACCCCAGCCCAAGGGAUAGAUUCUUUUCACAUCAAUUUCCUCAUUGGCUCAGAUUCCUCCAGCACUUAAGUUACUUCUUUAUUAUAAGUCUUAAACAGAAUUCACUAAAUGGUACCCUAAUGGUACUCUUCCCAGGCCAUAGUACCUGGAAUCCUAUUUUCUGUUAAUAGUUAAAUGUUAACCUGAGAUCACUAGAAUACUGUCAAGCAAGUUAUGCACAUGGUGCUUAAUUUACAAUCAGGGAGUAGUUUAGGCAGUGAGAAAAUCUGGUUCUUAAAGAGGAUGACAUUAAGGAAUCAGGGGAUGUAUUUCACAGGGUAUUUUUGUCAGUCGAUUUCCAUUUUUUUCUUGAAUAUAUGUCAUUUUUUUAAUCUCAGGAAGUUAUUUCUGUGUGCUGGCAGGGUAAAUCUAUGUCGUUCUGCAUUUAGAAGUAGUUCAGCAAAUCUAAUCAGAGAAUUUGUUGGGGCCCAAGUUAUAGCCAGGGUGGGGCAUGAACCCUUCUCCUGCAUGGGUAUCCUCCUGGGUCCCCAAAGGCCUGGGAAUCCCUUUGGUAUCUACCCUGAAAGAGUUCCUUCAGCAUCAGAAGGCUUUAUACUUCCAGAGAACCUGGCUGUCAGAUCCAGCUGGGCAUUUUGAUUUAACCGUUUCAGCUCUUGGAAGGCCAAGUAAAGGAGAAUGUUCCUUUUUAAUGGAUGUCAAGGGGGAACAGGAGAGAUGCUUGUCUAGAACCUCAUGUCCCAUCAACUGCCUUUUAGACAAACCAAUCUUUGGUCAAUAUUCUCUCAAUUAUAUUUGAUAAGCCAACCUAUUCUCCUUAAUUAAAAUGUUGGCAGGCAGUCUUCAUGUGAAUUUAUGCCAAGGAUUUGUUAUAAUCUCCCUGUUUUGUGAUUUCUCAUUUUUAAUAGUGGAAGAAUAAUUUCAUAAACCCUUCUGAAGAAGAGUUUCUGUAAACAAUUUUAUCUCCUGCAUAAUCUUUUUGGAUCUCUGCAUAGUU
rnacentral:lncRNA from 1 species